GAAGAAGAAGAAGAAGGGAAAACACAAAACAUACGGGCUAGCAACGAGCUUGUAAUGAUUCUCAAGAGUCAAGAAACUCAACAAACGCCGGGAUUACUAUGUGUAGCAUUCGGGUUAGGCGCUGAAGCUGCUCUCAACACUGGGGAGACUCAUGUCAGCUUGCUAACAAGCUUUCUAAGCCAUGAAUUUAAGAGGACUCUUUCAGGACUUCAAUCCCAGAUAUCAGGUGGCAGGGUGUUCCGGAGGCGGGGGGUUGGAUGACUGCAUUCUAUGAGACCCAUGGUCUGUCAGUUGGAUGGCUGAGGAGGAUCUGAGAGUAUGGGACGGUGUGUAUAAUUGCAGAAUUUCAGAAGGAUUUGGUGAAGCUUGGUUGUGAAGGGCCUUGAAGGUAAGUAACAGGAUAAUACAUUUUCCUAACUGCCGACACCUAUACCUCCACUCUGCCUUUAAUAUUAGCAGCCAUCUAUUCCUCACUGUUCUGUGUAUGCCUAGAAUUGUUUGUUUCCUAGGCUAUUUCUGUCAUGCAUCAUAUUCAGUAUUUCACAUUUAAGACCACAGAGUGCUGAGUAAACAGACUUGAGCUUUUUCAAAUUUUCAGAUUUUUAUUUUCUUCAUCAUGUUCAAGGACUAUUUUAACAUGUUUUAACAUCUGUCAUUAAGGCUUGCAAUUUCUGUAGAGAAUAUAUUAUAAAUUUAGUGUAAAUGGCUUCAAGAAAGAUUCUUCAACAAUUUCAUGCUCUUUGAUCAUAAGCUGCAGCAAGCACUUACUUACUCAAGCGUUUCCAAUACCACUCAUGCUGCAACUUCAUCAUCUCCUCCUGAACCAUUCCCCAGGUUCUGUACACAUUUCUCCUACAAGUCAAACUGAGUCCACUGCUGUCUGUUCUGUUCUCUUUCAGCGUUCACCUCUUACAGUCAAACUACAUCCUCACCUCUUUCUCCAUUGUCCCACCCCUCCUCUUUCCUCUUUUCACUUACCAUUACCUGAUGGUCCUCAGUACCUGAAUGACAAAUAGCUCUUUUUUGUGCCAAAGUACAUGAGGCGGAAACUGGAGCGGCGAUGUCACGUCACGUGGGUGGUGCAUGACACCCACAUCGAGUGUAGGAGGAAGCUAGAAACACCAUAUCUGCUACUUUCCAUGAAGUAAAACUAAUAUGUAUGUGAGUGGAAAACAACUUGUGUUUGAAUGUUUUUCAGUCUGUUAUGCUUCUCUUCACCACUAGAGGUCAAGCGAAAUAUACUGUUGGCCAUACAGUUUACCCCUAUUAUUUCAUGAGAAGAGGUAAAAAAAUAUUUUAUUCCAACUUUAUGGGCAACAGUCUAUAUAUACCUACAUUGUAGCAUUACAUUGUAGUCAUUGGUACAAAUGCAUGUAUGAACUUUUAUUUACAUCUUUUUUUACUAAAGACUAUGUUACAGUCCCAAGUCACAUGCCUUUCACACUCUUUACAACAGCAGUAUCUACAUCGUGACACUUCUGUGUGACUCAUGAGAUGACAGGCUGGCUUUUUUUUCCUUCUAGGAAAAAAAACAGCACUGGAAAGAUUUCACAAAAAAACAAUGAAUGAGCAGGUCAGUUUGAAGUGAUUGGAUCAUUUCAGCCAAUUGUUGCUGCUCCAGGGGAUGAUGUCAUCUUGCCAUGUCACGUGCAACCGAAGUUUAAUGUAAGGGGUCUGACAGUGGAGUGGUCGAAGCCUGAUCUCCAGCCUGAUCCCAACGACAGACUGAGCAGAGUUGAAUACGUCCAUCUGUACCGGGACUCCAGAGAAGACCUGGGCAUGAAGAUCUCAUCAUACAUGAGGAGAACGCAGUUAUUCACAGACGGCCUGGCACAAGGCAACAUAUCGCUGAAGAUUACUAAUGUGACACUUGAAGAUGCAGGAAGAUACAGAUGUUUCAUCCCAAAAUUAAAGGGGACAACACAGUCUUCAAUUCUUCAGCUAUUUGUUUACCCAAAAUCUGCUGAAUCUGGGACAACAGCAACACCAGAGCAUCCAGGAGAUUUCACAUCUUAUCCAGAGGAAGAGGUGGAUGAUAAAGGGGGUUUGGUCCGUCGGAGCAGACUCAUCCCACUCAUAAUAUUGUGUGUCUUCCUGAUCCUCAGUGUUGGAGUUGGAGGGUACACCAAGUCAAAAUGUCGAAAAAAGAAUCUGGCGAAAGGACCGAUAAUCUAGGUCCCCUUCUCAAAGGAACAUUGGUAGAAGUUCUUAAAAGAGAGAAGAGUGCUACAGCCCUCCUAAAAAUUAGUUUGAGGUUUCAAGGCUGCAGCCCUGAGCCAGAGGUGGAUACUGAAGACAGUGGCUCAGAUGAUUGGUCAGGUCAACUGAAGUAGAUCCCUUCAGUUGAAGUCUGCAUAUCAUGUAAUUGGUAUAUUGAUUGAACAGCUGAGUAUGGAAACAAAGGAGUCUAGUCUAGUCUUUGAGCAGGGUGUCUGUUUCUUAGGUGGCCAUAGCUUAUUUCUGAUACCUCUGAAAAAAGUUUUUUUUUUUUUGAUAUUUAAAAGUGUUAUAUCAAAAGCUGGACUGUUCUUUGAAAUUAUAUUAUUGCUGAUGUUUUGAUGACAACAUUUGAUGAUAACACCUCUUUUUAACUUUGCACUUUAUUGUACAGUCAUGAAUUUGGAAGCCUCACUUCUGUGCACACAAGACACUUUAAAUAACCUCACACUGAUACACCUUAUAUGUUGUUUUUUAUCUUAGUGUUGUAAAUUACUUAUGGUACAACCAACAGUAUCUUGGAGAAAACAAUGUCCCUGUGGAGAUGAAUAAACUAAUCUUUAAUCUUAGAAAUCAUUGCAUGUGGUUUCAUCAUACGUCCCGUGAGUCAUGUUUGUGUGUGUGUGAUGAAGGUCAGAUGAUAAAUAGAGUGAUCAGCUGAUAAAUUUCUGUUAUGUGUUAGGGGUUAGGGUUGGGUUGACCAUAUGAUUAACUGAUUCCCUGGUGAUGUUGAGAUAAAACUAGUUUUGUUGAGAA